GGCCCCGUAGCUCAACUGGAUAGAGCAAUCGACUUCUAAUCGAUAGGUUGAGGGUUCGAUUCCUUCCGGGGUCGCCA
rnacentral:tRNA from 1 species